rnacentral:rRNA from 1 species
UGAUUGAGAUUUUAACACGAAGUGAGCGGCGAACGGGUGAGUAACACGUGGGUAACCUGCCCAGAAGUAGGGGAUAACACCUGGAAACAGAUGCUAAUACCGUAUAACAGAGAAAACCGCAUGGUUUCUUUUAAAAGAUGGCUCUGCUAUCACUUCUGGAUGGUCCCGCGGCGUAUUAGCUAGAUGGUGAGGUAACGGCUCACCAUGGCAAUGAUACGUAGCCGACCUGAGAGGGUAAUCGGCCACAUUGGGACUGAGACACGGCCCAGACUCC